rnacentral:sRNA from 1 species
UGCAGGCAAGAAGAUGGAACUGGAAAAUAUCAUCUGAAUGAGGACUGAAGUCAAGGACUGCUGUGGUUGAAUUAAGGAAAGGCUGGAAGAAGCUGAAGAGGUUGGCGACCCCAAAAGAAGACCAGAAGUCUCAACUCUCCCAGACUCCUGAGAUCUCUCAGACAUUGAGUCCCCAACCAGCAGCAUACAAGAACUGGUGGGAGGACCCUGACGCAUAUACAGCAGAGGACUGCCUGGUCUGGCCUCAGUGAGAGAAUCCUUGCCUAACCCUUUAGAGACUUGAGGACCCAGGAAGUGGGGAGACCUGGUCAGUGUCUUCGAGUAACUGUUGGUUGCCUUUGGUGGCCAGAUGAUGGUGUGAGAUCCCCUAAACUGGAUUUACUGACAUUUGUGAGUUGCCAUGUGGGUUCAGGAGAGUCAACCUGGUUUCUCUGGAAGAGGAGAUAGUCCUUUUUAUUACUGAGCCAUACCUCCGUUCCCUCUUUCAAAUUCUGUUUUUAAUUCUUCUCUCAUGUAUUACAGCCCAAAAAAGAGAUUUUUAUCUCUCCUCUCCUCAGGGUCAGUCUUCCCUACCUGUCUACUCCCCCCAAGACCUUUCCUGUAUUAUUGUCAUGUUUGUCUCUAAUGUAGUAUCUUGUUUGUUGAGUUUUGUUAUUUGGUUACACAGUCAUUGCUAAAAGAUUUGUCGUAAGAUUUAAAUUUGUGUUUUGUUUUUCAAACGAUUGUAAAGGAAAUUUAUUGUGUUUCCAAAAUAUUGUCAAUAUUAAAAUAUGAAAACUCUCUAUGUUUAUUUAGUGGUUCAGUGGUAGCUAUCAACACAGCAGAAUCCAAAAUCAGCUUGGAGGCAAGUCCUUCGGACAUCUCUGAGGGGUCAUCUUGUUGUUUGAAGAACCAUCUUAAUUGUAACUAAGAACAUCCCCUGGGUGGAAAAUCCUGUAUUGCAUAAAAUGAUGAAGGCAGGAGAAAUGACUUCAAUUCAACAUGAAAUUAAUCCCCCAGACCAUCAUUAGAGUGCAAAGGUGACCUGAGCAUCUGAGCCUUCAGGAAGACAUGCUUCAUGGAUCUCAAUUUGGAUUUCUGAACAGAGAAACAGGUAUCAUCAAUUACUGGUACUUGUAAUGCACAACAUUGCCAUGAAGAAAACGGAAUUAGCACAGAGCAUGCAGAGUACCUUCCAACUCCAUGAACAUUACAUGUGAAGCUUCAAGUUUGGUAUCUGCACAAUUUCUCAAUGGUUGAUGACAGAAGUAUCUCUGAUACGGAGUCUCAGUGUACUUUGUAGUGAGGUUGCAAAUUCAAGCACUAAUGCAAUGCUUCCUGUCAGCCUCCUGAGAAGAUCACACUGGAGACCACUACUCUGAUCUAUGAUAUAAACUGCAAGAACUUUCCUGAUGAGGAAUAGGACUCUGUGUUUAUACCCUUAACCAAUGCUGUAACUGUGAUCUAUGGCAAGGGAAGAACAAGAUCUCAGGACUGGUUCAUCACCUUACUAAGAUAUUCAAAAUUACAUAAUACUAGAAGAACUUUUUUUUCUUACAAUCUUAGAAUGUGGAGGGAAUCUUAUUUAACUAGUGUACAGUUGACAGAGGAUACCUAGGGAGUUUAUUCCCAUGCUGAGAUACCAAUUCCUUACUACUGUCCACAGCAUUCUUAGAUACUUCCUUUUCAAAGUGAGUCUAGCAGAGGCAAAAAGUUCGUAGUCGUUCAUACUGUAAUUUAGAAUUAUACAAAAAGUGUUUAUGCAUAGACAGUGGAUAGAAAGGCUCAAUUCUGCAACUCAUGUGUUAUCUUUGACUUUUUAAAAGGAGCUGUUCACUAGAGAGUAGCUGCAAGGAAUGGAAAAUUUGAUGAGCCACACUGAGGAAGACUGAGGAAGCGGAGAGCUGACAUCAAUUCACAUUAUGGUGUAAUCAUUUUUCUAUAAACGGAAAACCAGAAGUCUCAACUAUCCCGGACUCCUGAGAUCUCUUAGACAUUGAGCCCAACCAGCAUCAUAGAAGAAUUGGUGGGAGGACACUGACACAUAUACAACAGAGGACUUCCUGGGCUGGUCUCAGUCAAUGUCUUUGAAUAACUGUCCAUUGCAUUUGGUGGCCAGAUGAUGGUGUGAGAUCCCCUGAAACUGGAAUUAGUGAUAUUUGUGAGUUGCCUUGUGGGUUCAGGAGAGUUAACCUGGUUUCCCUGGAAGAUCAGACAGUCCUUUUUAUUACUGAGCCAUACCUCCAUUCCCUCUUCUUAAUUCUGUUUUUAAUUCUUCUCCCACGUAUUACAUCUCCAAAACAGAGCUUUUCAUCUCUCCUCUCCUCAGGGUCAGUCUUCCCCACCUGUAUCUCCCCCCAAGACCGUUCCUGUAUUAUUGUCAUGUGUCUCUAAUGUAGUAUCUUGUUUGUGGAGUUUUGUUAUUUGGUUACACUGUCAGUGCUAAAAAGAUUUGUUGUAAGAUUUAAAUUUGUGUUUUGUUUUUUAAAUAAUUUUAAAGGAAAUUUAUUGUGUUUGCAAAAUAUUGUCAAUAUUAAAAUAUGAACAUUCUCUAUGUUUAUUUUGUGGUUCAGUGGUAGCUAUCAACAUGGCAGAAUCUGAAAUCAACUUGGAGGCAAGUCCUUCGGACAUCUGUGAGGGGUCAUCUUGUUGUUUGAAGAACUAUCUUAAUUGUAGCUAAGAACAUCCCCUGGGUGGAAAAUCCUGUAUUGUAUAAAAUGAUGAAGGCAGGAGAAAUGGCUUCAAUUCAACAUGAAGUUAAUCCCCCAGACCAUCUUAAGAGUCCAAAGGUGACCUGACUAUCUGAGCCUUCAGGAAGACAUGCUUCAUGGAUCUUAAUUUGGAUUUCUGAACAGAGAAACAGGUCAUUGGUAGAUAAGUUAAACUUUCAAAAUCAGAGAGGAUCCUAUAAUUCUUAUCCAGUAUUGUAGUAUCAAUUGCACAUAGCUUCUAAUUAGAGGUAGGACUCCAUUUCUGUUUCUCCUGUUUACCUCUGAGUCUUUUGUUCAGUUUGAACUCAGAAAUCUUGUGUAUGCUUGAAUAAUCGCUGUGAGUGGAAAUGUUUCUAGGUCCUGUUGUACAUGGAAGAGUCUUGUUCUUGAGAGUCAUCUAUCAUCUCUUGCUCCUAAAGUCUUUCUAAUUCCCCUCCCCAUAGAUUUGUGAUGCUUCAGGGGAAAGGUUCGAUGAAGAAAUCUUACUCAGGACAAGUGCUCCAAAGUCUCUCACUGUCUACAAUAUCCAGUUGCAGUUCUCCAAGCUAGUUCCCAUCUACUAGAGGAAGAAGCUCCUCUGAUGUGAGUUAAGUAAUGCACUGGUCUAUGGAUAUAACUAUGUAAUUUUGAGUCACUUCAUUGUAAUGUGACAUUUGCAGAAUUAUACUGGUUUUCUACUAGACCCAUUUUUGGGUUCUUGAGCACAUUAACAGUGUCUUGUAUGAG